CGUGACGAGGAACCCUCAGCCGCCGGGCCCAGGAAGGGAGGAGCUCUGGCGGCCGUCUGGUUACCCUGGCGCUGGGCUCUUAGGUGCGGAGGAUUGGAGCUCUUCGAUUUUCCGCUCAGAUACCUUAGUGUCGGGUGGUGUCCUGUGAUGGGGGCAUGCGUCCCCUCUUACCAUGUCUGGCUGGCGGCGACCCAGAUGCCACGUGAUGGUCAUUUGAAGACAGGCCUGACGGACAUCAGGAAUCCCAAGGUCCAGACACUUGCCUUCAGGGACCUGGGCGUUCGGCUGUCCUACCUGGCCCUGGUUGAUGGCCCCGUGCUGAGCAGUGCAUGUGAAGACACACAUG